rnacentral:tRNA from 7 species
AGCCCCGGAGUCUCCGCUGGCGAGGGACGCCGGACUUUGAAUCCGGAAGUCGCCGGUUCGAUUCCGGCCGGGGCGA